GAUGAAGAACGCAGUGAAAUGCGAUACGUAGUGUGAAUUGCAGAAUUCCGUGAACCAUCGAAUCUUUGAACGCAUAUUGCGCUCAAGCCCUCGGGCAAGAGCAUGUCUGCCUCAGCGUCGGUUUACACCCUCACCCCUCCCAACUUGUUGGGUGUGCUUGCUUUAUUGGCAAGCCGUUGGGGUGGAUCUGGCUUCCCCAAUCAGCCAUCAGGCAGAUUGGGUUGGCUGAAGUGCAGAGGCUUAAGCAUAUCAAUAAGCGGAGGA
rnacentral:misc_RNA from 1 species